GCCGCGGCGUCGCUCCCGGAUGAUGUGGUCCGUGAUAUCCUCGUGCGCAUGGACAAUGUGACCGACCUCUUCCGUUGCGCCAUGACGUGCAAGCAAUGGCGCCGCAUUGUAAGCAAGGCCUCCUUUCUUCGCCGCAGCUGCUGGCCAGACCAUGAUACGGCGUCGUUCCUUCCUGGUUUCUUCCUCUCGGAGAAAAUCGUCGCUUGCAAGGACGACCCUACCUUUGUGACACGCUUCGUCCCCACGCCGGGGUUGGUGUUUGGUUCUGACCGUGGCUCUCUAGAGUCAUUUUUUCCGAGAGCAGCAACAAGUGGUACAGGAGGCCGUAAAAGAGGCCUGCUGCACAAUGCGGUGCCGCUCGUCGCUCGCCACGGCCUCCUCCUCGUGCACCUGGAUACACCCACUGGCAAAAGCAAAGGUUGCUUGGUCUCAUCUAUCCGCCUGGCUGUCUGCAAUUUGCUUUCCGACGCAUGUCACAAGCUCCCUCUGUUAGAGUGUGAUUGGGAUUUCGACAAGAGCGGCUAUGCCGUCUUAACCGGGGCAGACUAUACGAGGAACGGCGAGCAGCAACCUUCGGUGCCGUCUGGCUACUCGUCCUUCUUCAAAGUGCUCGUCAUUGGGACUGGCAUGCAUUACCGGCCGCACAACCUCCACAUGUUCACGUCCGGUAAGCUAAGAUGGAGUUGGCCGAGUAAGCUAAUUUUUCCUGCAAAGGAGAGUGGUAGUUACUACUUGCCGCUUAGGCACCCCCGCGCUGUUGUAUGGCGUGGCAUGGCAAGCUGGCUCGUUCAUUACUUCACAAUACACGAGCCAAUCUUGCAUACCAUUGAAGUGGACGCCGGGACCUUCAACACCUCCUUGACUAAGAUUGAUACCUCGGGCGAACUGAUCAGAGCUCCAAAGUAUAAACCUCACAAUUAUGAUGAACCACAACAUACUUUCCUUACUGUCGAUGUUGACCGGCAACUCUCAUUUCUUCAUGUGCAAAGGCGAGGCUCCCAACUAGAGAGAUGGACGCGGCAAGAGGAUGCCGCUCCUAUAAGGUGGCUCCGCACUCAGGUUAUUGAGCUAAACCCACCUAGCAACACUUUUAUGUUUACACUUUUGGAAGAGAAAGGUGGCAUGUUGUUCGUCAAGGACAACCGCGGGAGCGUGUACACUACAGAUCUUGAGACAGGGGUGAUGAAGAAAUUUACCAACUUUGGCACAAUCAAGCGCCGACAGCUUGUCCCCCUUGAGAUGGAUUGGCUGGCAUUCUUUGUU
rnacentral:rRNA from 1 species